GGUGUGGUGGUCCAGUGGUAAGGCAUUGGUCUUGUAAACCAAAGAUCAUGGGUUUGAUCCCCAUCUAUGCCU